rnacentral:rRNA from 1 species
UAGGGAAUCUUCCGCAAUGGACGCAAGUCUGACGGAGCAACGCCGCGUGAGUGAAGAAGGAUUUCGGUUCGUAAAACUCUGUUGUUAGAGAAGAACAGCGCAUAGAGUAACUGUUAUGCGUGUGACGGUAUCUAACCAGAAAGCCACGGCUAACUACGUGCCAGCAGCCGCGGUAAUACGUAGGUGGCAAGCGUUGUCCGGAUUUAUUGGGCGUAAAGCGAGCGCAGGCGGUCAAUUAAGUCUGAUGUGAAAGCCCCCGGCUCAACCGGGGAGGGUCAUUGGAAACUGGUUGACUUGAGUGCAGAAGAGGAGAGUGGAAUUCCAUGUGUAGCGGUGAAAUGCGUAGAUAUAUGGAGGAACACCAGUGGCGAAGGCGACUCUCUGGUCUGUAACUGUCGCUGAGGUUCGAAAGCGUGGGUAGCAAACAGG